AUGAUGUUUUAUUAACAAAGUUCGGGAGAAGCACGAGCAGAUAAUUAACACAGGUGGAGAGCACUCAGCAAUCAAUGGUAAGAGGUGUAUAUAUACAGCAGUCUCACCUCAAUUCAUUUGACAGUCUCGCAGCAGUUAGUAGCUUUUGGUUCCAGCUCUGCCAUUAUGUCACAAUCGAGCUCUUCAUCUGAUGAGAACGGAAACACCACCAAGGAUGCACGUUCACAUUCCGCCGGUCCAACGACCAUCCCUCCAACGCCGGACGUCGCACCUGAGCCCCAGGCUUCUUCACGCGGCCGCACACCGGCCCGAACAGCCCUACGCUCACCAAGACGUCGAGGCCAGUCUUCACUGCCCCCGGCAAGGCUUCCACCUUCUUCCCCGGCCUCCUCCUACCGCUCGGCCGUCCCGACGAUCCCACCUAUCGGGAAGUGGACCGUAGCUGGAUUGAGGGAAGCGCUCGGCAACUCAGACAUACAGGCUUCGCGAAAAAUGAACAAAGCGGAGCUGUAUGAUCUGUACGUUUCCCUACAGUCGACUCCAAAAACGACCCACAGGCAGAGCAAAGCCCGCAGGGCCCAAAAUUCGCCUGCCCAGCUACCACCGUCGUGUUCCCGCACAGGAUCUGGCUCGCUUCGCCCAUCGAGCCGCAGAAACCGGUCUUCAGCGAGCCUAGGCCGCGCCCCAGAUUCCGCCAUGGCAGGUCCACACCCACCUCCCGAUGAGGCCCAGCCCUCCACCACGGUUCCUGCUGCCACAGUGCCGCAUGCAGCCAGGCCCAGCGGCCCCCCCACAGCCACUCAGUUUCAUAAUCCUGCUAUACAUAACCCUUUUUCUUUUCAGUGGCCUACAGCCCCCGUUGGAGACACUAGCGCGAGGCCAUCGCUGCUACCAGCACAGACCCAAGGAUACCAACAAUUCUACCCACCAGGUUAUAACCCCGCCCACUUCCAGUGGCCUGCGGCUCCAGUAGCUCAAACAAGCGCAGGCCCGCCUCCGCUUGCAGUUCAAGCCCACGCUUCAAAUUAUUAUGCUCCUCCCUGUUCGUCAUACCCUCCAACUAACUUUCCUUUUCAAACCACAGCAGGUCAUCUAAGCGUGAGGCCGCCGCCGACAUUCGCAGCCCCGGAUCAUACCUUUCCUAGCUCUCUCAUACAAAAUAAAUCACCUUAUUCUCUCUUCACAGCGACUCCGAUGCCCGUGCCAUCCAACGCAGUCGUCAUGGAACCACCACCGGUAUCCCAAAGCAUCCGAGCACAGAUCUUAUCAGAAAUUCAGGACGCUGGCUCCAGAGGCGGAUCAAUUCCCAACUCCAGUACCUCGCUAUUCAGAACUAAUAUUCCCGUAACCCACCCGUUAAAACCCCUGCUUGACGCAUCGCUCGACACUAUCCUCAAAGCAGUUUCUCCCAGAACCCUCCAAUCCUACGUGACGGCUUGGAGAUGUUUUAAAACAUUCCAUGUCUCUUAUAACAUGCCUUUCCCUGAUUUCUCUCUUCUUUCAGUCACCUCUUUUAUUACCUACCUUAAUAGCAUUAAGGGCCUCCAAGUCGGGUCCAUCAAAGGAUACUUGAGCGGCAUCCAGUUUUUCCAUAAAUUGAUGUACGGCGCUCCUUCCCCCGAGAUAAACAACUCACAAACCUCCCUCCUGAUCAAAGGGAUUCAAAGAUCCCAGCCCAGCCGUACCGACGCUAGACAACCUAUAACGUUAGACAUUCUCACCAAAUGCAUUCGCGCCCUCCGCACAGGCUACCAGCCCAUCAGUACCGCUCGCACACUUGACGCUAUGUUUGUCCUAGCCUUUUUUGGUUUUCUCAGAUGUUCGGAACUCGCCAUCACGUCCAACUUCGACCCAAAAAUCCACCCCACCAUCUCAGACUUAUCAGUAAUAGAUGGGGAAUCAAUUUCAUAUUUGAUUAAACAAAGUAAGACCGACCAAACCAAAAAAGGCCAUUUCAUAUACAUUUUUAAUCUCCCAUCGCCAAUCCAACCAUACCAGUCAGUUCUGGCAUAUUCGCAAUGGAGAAGCUCUCAGGCCAAAUCUCCUCUGGAACCCCUAUUCAUAGACGAAUCCAAAAAACCUGUGACUCGUUUUUGGUUCCAGAAACACCUCAAAGCCGUUCUCCAACAGUCAGGCAUUCCAGUAAAGAAUUUUUCAAGUCACUCAUUCCGUAUUGGGGCAGCAACUUCAGCAGCCCAAAAAGGCCUCUCCCAACAGCAGAUACAAGCCCUUGGGAGAUGCUCCUCAGAUGCUUUCCAUAGCUAUAUCAGGACCAACCGAUUCCACAUUAAAAAAGCUCACCAAACCCUCAUUGAAUGAGAAAAAAAAAAAAAAAAAAAAAAAAAAAAAUUAUCUUUCGCCCAGCGAGCAUUGGUCUCAAAGCGGACGCAGUGUGAGAAAAUCUCCCGGUCAAGGUCUCAUUUUCUCUCUUUUCUGUUUCUCUUUCUGUCCAGCGAGCAUUCGGUCUCACAGCGGACGCAGCGAGAACUUUUCCGGUAGAGCACUUACGUUUUCUCUUUCGUCCAGCGAGCAUUGGUCUCAAAGCGGACGCAGUGUGAGAAAAUCUCCCGGUCAAGCUCUCAUUUUUCUCUUUUCUGUUUCUCUUUUUGUCCAGCGAGCAUUCGGUCUCACAGCGGACAAAGCGAGAACUUUUCCGGUAGAGCACUUACGUUUUCUCUUUCGUCCAGCGAGCAUUGGUCUCACAGCGGACGCAGUGUGAGAAAAUCUCCCGGUCAAGCUCUCAUUUUUCUCUUUUCUGUUUCUCUUUCUGUCCAGCGAGCAUUCGGUCUCACAGCGGACAAAGCGAGAACUUUUCCGGUAGAGCACUUACGUUUUCUCUUUCGUCCAGCGAGCAUUGGUCUCACAGCGGACGCAGUGUGAGAAAAUCUCCCGGUCAAGCUCUCAUUUCUCUCUUUCCUGUUUUUCUCUUUCUGUCCAGCGAGCAUUCGGUCUCACAGCGGACAAAGCGAGAACUUUUCCGGUAGAGCACUUACGUUUUCUCUUUCGUCCAGCGAGCAUUGGUCUCACAGCGGACGCAGUGUGAGAAAAUCUCCCGGUCAAGCUCUCAUUUCUCUCUUUCCUGUUUUUCUCUUUCUGUCCAGCGAGCAUUCGGUCUCACAGCGGACAAAGCGAGAACUUUUCCGGUAGAGCACUUACGUUUUCUCUUUCGUCCAGCGAGCAUUGGUCUCACAGCGGACGCAGUGUGAGAAAAUCUCCCGGUCAAGCUCUCAUUUCUCUCUUUCCUGUUUUUCUCUUUCUGUCCAAAAAAAAAAAAAAAAAAAAAAAUUUUAAUAAUAAAUAAAUAAAUAAAACGCCUGAUCGGUCCCCGUUGCAAGUCGGCAGGGCCUAUCAGUCCAGGCACAAUGAGCCGCCACCACAGGCCCACUGGCCAAACUUUCAGACCCUUUCUAGAGACGCCAGCACGCCAAACGCGGCACUCAUUGGGGGGUCUUUUAGUUCGGCGGCUGUCCUCUGCUAUUUAGCUUUUUGGGGGAGUACUCUGGGUUCGGGCCGAACUCCGAGCUCGGAGCCCUCCCUCCGGACAGCACGCCAAAUACGCAUUAAAUCUUACCCUCCCAAUUGUAUGUAAGUGUGAACUCGUGAAAUGAUGUUUUAUUAACAAAGUUCGGGAGAAGCACGAGCAGAUAAUUAACACAGGUGGAGAGCACUCAGCAAUCAAUGGUAAGAGGUGUAUAUAUACAGCAGUCUCACCUCAAUUCAUUUGACAGUCUCGCAGCAUCCCCCCACCACCCCUUCUCCACACUUCUAAUCCUAAACCACUUACAUAGGGUAGGGGGGAGUACUCUGGGUUCGGGCCGAACUCCGAGCUCGGAGCCCUCCCUCCGGACAGCACGCCAAAUACGCAUUAAAUCUUACCCUCCCAAUUGUAUGUAAGUGUGAACUCGUGAAAUGUA